AAAAAGAAAAGAAAGAAAAAAAAAAUGGGAGUGAUGGAGCUUUGUGCUUGAUGGAGGGAGAAUAGGAUGAAGUAUUGUUUGGUGUUAUUCAGUCCUGGGAGGGAGUUUCAGGUCUAGGAAGGAACCCAAGGACACCAGGAGCAAGACCCUAGAUCGCUGUUCAAGU